GUGUUCACAGUGAGAUCCCAGUCAUACCUGUCGAGUUAAAGACGACGAAGAUCUUCAAGUAGGUGUCACAAUUGCUUUGAACAAAGCGAACAAGCCAUCCCCCCCCCCCCCCAUGCUGUUUGAAACUAACAUUUGCUCUUCCGUGGAUCUUUAUGUGUGCCACUGUACACCCACGGACUACAGAGCACCUGCCUAUAGAACAAUAACACGUGCGAUUAUGGAAGGGAAGAGGAAAUUCUUUUUUAAGGCACAAAAGCCAGUCUGGUUUGGAUGAACUGUUGUGUGACUGUACUUUACCCCAACACAUGUGACUUUCGAUGAGGAGACGAUUUCUCAGGAUCCCUACAGUAGCUUCAUUGCCGCCAGUCGUGCACGCGCAUGGGCCUCUCUAGACCUGUCAGACUCUCAGUGCUAGCAGUCGUGCACGCGCGUGGGACUCUCAGUGCUGGAGGUGUGGAGUGUAAACGAGAACUCGGGACUGGUAUAAACUUGACUAAGAGUGGAAUACAUUUGAUAUUUAUUUUUGUAGUAAUGCCUAUAAUUUAUGCAAGUUGUAUUGCAACGGUAACUGAGCAUUGUUUUGUAAAUAAACCAUGAUUGGUUUUUAUUUAAAAAGCCGAAGUUACGCAAUGUUGUUAACAAGGAGACUUUUACUAAUUUAUAUCUCUGAUUGUAAAUAAAAAGCGCUAGUCUGCACUGGCA